rnacentral:rRNA from 1 species
UACGGAGGACGCAAGCGUUGUUCGGAAUCAUUGGGCGUAAAGCGCGUGGAGGCGGCCUUUUAAGUCGGAUGUGAAAGCCCGGGGCCCAACCCCGGAAUUGCAUUCGAUACUGAUUGGCUGGAGUCCCGGAGAGGAAGGCGGAAUUCCCGGUGUAGAGGUGAAAUUCGUAGAUAUCGGGAGGAACAUCAGUGGCGCAGGCGGCCUUCUGGACGGUGACUGACGCUGAGACGCGAAAGCGUGGGGAGCAAACAGG